rnacentral:rRNA from 1 species
AGUGAACGCUGGCGGUAGGCCUAACACAUGCAAGUCGAACGGCAGCACAGUAAGAGCUUGCUCUUACGGGUGGCGAGUGGCGGACGGGUGAGGAAUACAUCGGAAUCUACUUUUUCGUGGGGGAUAACGUAGGGAAACUUACGCUAAUACCGCAUACGACCUACGGGUGAAAGCAGGGGAUCUUCGGACCUUGCGCGAUUGAAUGAGCCGAUGUCGGAUUAGUUAGUUGGCGGGGUAAAGGCCCACCAAGGCGACGAUCCGUAGCUGGUCUGAGAGGAUGAUCAGCCACACUGGAACUGAGACACGGUCCAGACCCCUACGGGAGGCAGCAGUGGGGAAUAUUGGACAAGGGGCGCAAGCCUGAUCCAGCCAUACCGCGUGGGUGAAGAAGGCCUGCGGGUUGUAAAGCCCUUUUGUUGGGAAAGAAAAGCAGCAGGUUAAUACCCCGCUGUUCGGACGGUACCCAAAGAAUAAGCACCGGCUAACUUCGU